UGUAGUCAUUUCGCUAUAUAUACCGACUCCGGUGAGUAGAAAGCGAAGUAGGGUUCGGUAGCCGCCGCCGCCGCCGCAGGAUUCUUAUCUCUGCCCUAUGAUUCCUCUGUCUCGAUCGAAUGAUCCAAGUUACUGACCCGUUCGAUCUCUCAGCCGACGACGACAACGACGACGAUAACGACGACGAACCUUCUCAUUUCAUCGCCGCUCAACAGCAGAUGGACGCUGCCAAGAAGAUACCCGGUCCUACAGGCACUCCGCCGGCCACCAGAUUCUUUUCUCUCUGAAGCAUUGUCGCACCACCUUCUCGUGUGGAACGGUCUUGAAUAUUGAUUUUGAGAGCGGUGAUGCAAAGAAUGACGAGAAGGAAGAUGAACAAUAACAACAAUCGGAAGGGGGCCUCAGCAAACGAGACCGAAGGAAAGGAACCACCUUAGGUCAAGAAGAAAGAGACAAUGGGCAAUUUGGUUGGAUGAUUCUUGAAGUUAAGUCACAAUGAAGUCUUUUUUUUUUGUCCAUGAUGAUUGCGGUGGUUCGACAAUCUAAAAGACAUGGGAAGGAUCUUGCAGAACAAAUUAGAUACACGUUAUUUCACCAUCUUCAGAACAAGCUGAAGACUUAUUGCCUUUUUUUUUUUUGAACUCUUUCAAUUGCAUCAUGUUACAUUAAAUUGGGCAAACAUUCUCUAUAUCAUUUUUGCCUUUGAGAGAACUAGGUGGCUUGCGAUAAAGCUCUUAAUGUACCACUUUGGUUCCGUUGCAGGCAUAUAUUAAAGUAUACUUACGGCCCUUUCUUUGAAAAUUUCUUUAAGCAACAAACGUUGCUUGCAAGAAGGGCCUUGGAAAUCUCAUGCUUUCAGAUUUUUUCAUAUUUCUUUGUUGGGAAAUAGAAUUUGGGUGGACAAACCAAAAGUACAAUUUGUCUGCAAAUAUGAGGCCUUUUUAUGCAUUAAUAUAUCUAAUGUGCUCUUAUUUAUGCUUAUGGCCGAUCCAAAGGGUCUUGCAUGGUGUAAAACCAAGAGCAUAUGCAAGUGCUCCAUUUCACCCGGCCAAAAUGUAUGCUUGUGGCAGCAUCAAGGUUUUGGCAUGUCUUCCAGGUCAUGUAUGAUUCAGAAAGCUGCCAUACAUGUAAUAAACAUUUGGUCAUGAGGUAAUAUAUGGUUGUUGUGUGGUAGCUGUAAGCUUUUAAGAAUGACAAUGUUAUAUGAUUGUUGUGUGGUUGCUAGAAGUUUUUAAGAAUGACAAUUCUUGAACAAGUUCAAAGCACCUUAUUCCAGCACCAAACUUCUUACUCCUGAGGUGAUGGUCAUAAUCUAUUGCCUUUUUUUACAUUACAUCGAAAUGGGUAAAUCUUCUCUAUAUUCAAUUUUGCCUUUGAGAGAACUUGGUGGCUUGCUUUUAAGCUCUUAAUGUGCCACUUUGGUUCCGUUGCAGGCAUAUACUAAAGUAUUCUUACAGCCCUUUCUUUGAAAAUUUCUUUGAGCAACAUGUUGCUUGCAAUAAGGGCCUUGGAAAUCUAUUGCGUUCAGCUUUCUUGUCUAUUUCUUUGUCGGAGAAUAGGAUUCAGUGACUUGCGGCUAACGAAUUCCACGUAGUUAGUAAAACCAAAAAUGCAAUUAGUUUUCAUAUGUGAUGCCUUUUGGCACAUUAAGAUAUCCAGCUUUCCUCCUUUUAUGUCUGUGGCUGAUCCAAAGGGCCUUGCAUGGUGUAGAACUAUGAGGAACAAGUUGAAAGCACCAUACUCCAGCACUUAAACUUCUUGCUCCUGAGGGUGGAUGGGCAUGACCUAUUGCUUCUUUAACUCUUUCAAGUGCAUCACAUUUCAUAAAAAUGGAUAAAUAUCUCUAUAUUCAUUUUUGCCUUUGAGAGAACUAGGUGGCUUGCUUUAAAGCUCGUAAUGUGCCACUUCAGUUCCGUUGCAGGCAUAUACUAAAGUUUACUUACGGCCCUUUCUUUGAAAAUUUCUUUAAGCAACAAAAUGUUGUUUGCAUGAAGGGCCUUGGAAAUAUUUCACAAUCAGACUUCUUGCCUAUUUCUUUGUAGGAGAACAGGAUUCAGUGACUUACUGUUAAUUAAGUCCACGUAGUUAGUCAAACCAAAAGCACAGUAAGCCUUCAUUCGUGAUGUCUUUUGGGGAUUAAGAUAUCUAAAUUUGCUCUUUUUUAUGCCCAUGGCCGAUCCAAAGGGUCUUGCAUGGUGUAAAACCGAUAGCAUAUGCAAGUGCUCCAUUUCACCUGGUCAAAAUGUAUGCUUGUUGCAGCAUCAAGGUUUUGGCAUGUCUUCCUGGUCAUGUGUGAUUCAGAAAGCUGCCAUACAUGUAAUAAACAUUUGGUUAUGAGGUAAUAGAUAUGUGCUUUUUAUAUAGUAGCUAGAAGUUUCUAGCCAUGGUAUUCUUAUACUCUUUAAAUCUGCUCAAGAGACAGUUGCGCAAUAGGUGUUCUGGCAAUUUUUUCUGGAGGGUACUGUUUCUGUGGGUUCUUACUUACAUGGACAUGCAUUUGAUUAUGAAUUAUCUAUUUGUCCUUUUUAUUUAUGAUGAAACACUUCUACUCAGAUUUUUUGCUGGUAAGGUGGGCUCAGAUAUUCUCAAACAAGAGAAUUUAAUCAAAAUAUGUUGAAAUAUUGCUUAAUUGUUUGACACAGAGAGAAAGAGAGAGAAGUAGGUACCAUAGAAAUUUGUUGUUUUCAUGAAAAAUAAGUACACAUUUCAGUUAAUUAGACUCUUGUAAACAAAGAAUAGCACUAAAAUUAAUAUUCCUAUAACUGGGCAAUUGAAUAAACACAUCAGAAGAAUUUCCCAAAUUUGUCUCUUUUAGUUGACUAUGUAUGCUACUGAUCUGUUAGCAAAUUAAACUUCAUGGAACCUCAACCUCUAACCAUUGUCUAUGGAGAAGGUUAAUCUGAAUGAAAGAACCACUGAGUCUAAACAGAAACCAGACUCAUGGAGCCAUUUAAGAUUCUAAUUGAUCACUUUCAUGCUCAAGAUUAUGGUUAUUUUUUUCCGCAUGUGGUCUAUAGUUGCAAUUGAAGGUUUGCCAGACAUUGAGGUAAGUGGCUUUCAGUUGAUCAUUUGCUCUACUAUGGAAGGACCUUACUGGUAUUUCCAUAUCAUAAAUGACUCAGUUUUAAUCCAAGCUUUCAGUUCGGAUAUAGAGCAGAAUCUACUUAUAUAUGCUGCUUCACUAGAGUGAUAUUAUUCCUUUAUCAAUUUAGAUAUCUAUAUGUAAAAAGGAAUAUAAGUGAAAAUCCACCACUGAGAGGAAGUAUGAUUAAACAAAAAGGAAUCACAAAAAACAUAAUGUAUCUUUUUUGCCUGUUGAAAUUCCUCUUCAGAUUCUUUUACAUUUUGGGUUUCUUUUUCUGUUUGGAAAAAAGGCCUGCCUUUUUGUUGUUUGAUGACAUGGAUGCAUCUGAUUGACUUGUUACACUGGUUGGUGUAAGAAAUGACUCCGGAAGAGCACAAGAAAUUAAAGGACGGAAAACUAAAAGUGCUACUUGCCAUGAAUUCUGAAGAGAGGAAAGUCAAAUUUGACUAGGAUUUCGAGUCAAUGCAACAGCUGUCUAUCAGGAAAGUAAAUAAUGGUUCUGAAGAGGUUAUGGGAAGACAAGAAAGAUACUGGUGAUGCUCAGGGACUGGUCAAGAAGAAGUUGAAAUGUUAAUUGAGAAGUUAAAACUUCUCAAUAAGCCUGCAUUGAAGAGCAUUAAGAGUGAAGAUGGUGACAUAAUAGAUUGUGUUGAUAUUUACAUGAAGCCACCUUUGGAUCGUCCACUACUCAAAGAUCAUAUCAUUAAGAUGAGACCCGAUGAUGAGCACUCAGAAGAAAGAGAUGGGGCUACUCACUCUAGUGUGGUAGAAGAGUCAACUUCCCCUGUGGAACCAUUACCCAUCGUACGUGUCCAAAGCCAUCACUUGUUGAAUGCUCCUUCGAUCCAAAACUACGGUAGGAAGCCAUGGAUUGGAGUUAAGAGACAGGUGGUUCGUUUGAACAACAGUGGACCAUUAUGUUAUGGAGCUUUAAACUCACAUGCUGUCAGUCCUUUCUCACUACUCCUCUGCGUCUAAUUAUGUCCACUUUAACCACAACAUUAACGAUUAUUUCAUUCUGUUGAUUUCAGUAUGGGGUGUUGGUCGUCAAUGGCCGAGAAGGGAAGGAUGACGCUUUUGAUUAUAUUCUCAAAAUUUUGAUUAUAUUUUAAAAAAUUAUAUUGAGAUCCAUUUACCACUGAAAAUAUAGGCAUCACUUGUUGAACACUCCUUCCAUUCCAUCCAAAACUAUGGAAGGAAGCCAUGGCAUGGAGUUACGAAACAUGCGGUUCGUCUGAGCAACAACGAGACGUUCGACCUCAAUGCUUGAAACUUGCACGCGUAUGGUGGUCUUCUUGCUACUGGCGACGACAUUCUCGGAGCCAAAGCUAUCAGCAAGAUUCCGAGUUCUCCAGUGCAAAGAUCUGGCUCAGGAACUGGCCGACCGACCGUUCCAAUAACAUCGAAGCUGGAUGGAUGAUGAUCCUUUUUGUCGAUCUGCAUAUGGAAUUCCCCAGUCUUACUCUAUUCUGAUCUUUCUCUUUUCGGUUUGUCUGCUCAUAGGUAAAACCCUAGUGUUUCUAAUGAUAGGACGUCAAGGAUCUUUGCGUACUGGACGGCCGACUCCGGUAGGACGACAGGCUGCUUCAACCUCCUUUGUCCAGGUUUCGUGCAGACGAGCGAUAAAAUAGCCCUGCGAGCCUCCUUCACUAACGUAUCCACUGCAAUAUUUUGUUGAAAAAAAUUAAAUUAUUAUUUUUUG